AUUGAACGCUAGCGGCAGGCUUAACACAUGCAAGUCGAGCGAGCGGCGGACGGGUGAGUAAUGUAUGGGGAUCUGCCCGAUAGAGGGGGAUAACUACUGGAAACGGUAGCUAAUACCGCAUACUAUCGGCUGAACCCAUAUGGGAUUAGCUAGUAGGUGGGGUAAAGGCUAACCUAGGCGACGAUCUCUAGCUGGUCUGAGAGGAGGAUCAGACACACUGGAACUGAGACAUGGGCCAUACUCUGACGUGAGGCAGCAGUGGGGAAUAUGGCGAAAUGGGCGCAAGCCGGAUGCAGCCAUGCCGCGUGUAUGAAGAAGGCCUUAGGGUUGUAAAGGACUUUCAGCGGGGAGGCGUUACCCGCAGAAGAAGCACCGGCUAACUCCGUUCCAGCAGCCGCGGUAAUAC
rnacentral:rRNA from 1 species